rnacentral:lncRNA from 1 species
GUCCUUGCCAUUACUGCAAGAGGUUUACAGCUGAGAAAUACUGGUUUAAGAACUACAAGAACAGUGACUUACUGUAAUUAUACAGAGAAGUCACCUCUGGGGGAUCCAUCACAGUGGAAGACUGCCUAAAGGAAACAGACAGUACUGUUCAUCCUCAAGAAGCCACAAGACUGAUGUAAGAAAACAGAGAUGGGAAAACACAUUAACUAACAGGCAUAAUCCUUUGAUGAGAAAACCUUGAUGGUAUUUUAGAAGAGGAAGAAAAUCCAUCUCUGCAGAGUCACUGGAGACUCUGGCUAUUACUAAUUGAUUCUACACGGAGAGCACACAGUGGGGACAGCCUUCAGUCUGAAGUGGUAAGACAAAGGACUUCCGACCUGCUUUGAAGUAUUGUGUGUGGAAGCUAUUGGAAGUUUAAAAAGUUUCUCUGUGCCUGCACGGGUCUUCUGUUGGGAGUGUUAAGGAUGGA